rnacentral:misc_RNA from 1 species
GAUGAAGAACGCAGCGAAAUGCGAUACGUAAUGUGAAUUGCAGAAUUCAGUGAAUCUUCGAAUCUUUGAACGCAUAUUGCGCUCUCUGGUAUUCCGGAGAGCAUGCUUGUUUGAGUAUCAGUAAACACCUCAACUUCCAUAUCUUUUUUGAAAUGGGAGUUGGACUUGAGUGAUCCCAACGCUUUUCCUCACCGAAAAGUGGCGGGUUACUUGAAAUGCAGGUGCAGCUGGACUUUUCUCUGAGCUAUAAGCAUAUCUAUUUAGUCUGCCUAAAAAACAGAUUAUUACCUUUGCUGCAGCUAACAUAAAGGAGAUUAGUUCUUGUGCUGACUGAUGCAGGAUUCACAAAGACAGGCUUCGGCCGACUUUGUAAACUCGAUCUCAAAUCAAGUAAGACUACCCGCUGAACUUAAGCAUAUCAAUAAGCGGAGGA